rnacentral:lncRNA from 1 species
CGUUCUCGCGCUAAAGACACACUCAGUGUAUAUACUGAAAACAGUUGAACAGAUAAGGGGGCACUCUUUUCCCUAAGGAGGGUUUUUAACGAGGCCACCCAAUGAAAAGAUUAUCAGCAUAUCAAGUGUGCGAGAGUUUUCAAGUUAAAAUCCUCCUCGCCCCAGGUGCGAGUGCAGGUGAUCGGUUAGGCCUUAUUCGCCCUAGGCGCGAGUAUGGGCGCUAAUCUAAG